UGAGGAAUGCAAUAAAUAAGUUUAAAUGGUAAAUUCCUAGUGCAUAUGUGACUAUAUACCAGCCCUGUAAACAUUUACAAAGUUUAAGUCGGUUGGAUCAGUAUGGGGAAAUAGUAUGUUGUAGAGAGACAAAUGGCUUCAGUAUUCCAUGGAUUCACCAUGUGGGUGCUGGGUGCAUCAUGUGGCACAGAGAAAAACAAAGGAGCCUGGGGCUUGUGACCCAUGUGUAGGGUGAAGGAGCUUCUCCGUAACAUGUCUACAUUUGGUAAUACCAAAUUAGGUAAUACCCUACUACAGCUACUUUGGCUACAUAUUCUAAUAUAGAGUUUACUGCAGUUUUAGUGAGCAAGUGAGCAAGAGAUUUUGCUGGUAUUCCUUUUGCAACCACUUCUAUAGCAUACAAACUAAUUACAUAGCCAUGUUUAGUUACUUCAUUUGUUAGGUUAGGUUUAGUUUAGUUAGUUAGGUUGACUUGUUUAAAUACUUUUCUAGUGUAGAAUCUCAGGAUUCAAUGAUCAUUUGAGUAGUGGUGUGAAAAAACAAUAAUAAACUCACUCGGUCAUAUUAGAGUGUAGAUUAGAAUAUUGUUACAGUUGAAACAUGCAAUUAUAAUUUCAAUGUUACAAAAA
rnacentral:lncRNA from 1 species